rnacentral:rRNA from 1 species
CCAAGGAGUCUAGCGUGUGCGCGAGUCAUUGGGAUAUCACUAAACCUAAAGGCGUAAUGAAAGUGAAAGUUCGUUUUGCGCGAACUGAGGGAAGACGGUCGGUCCGAUUCGGGCCGUCCUGCAUUCCCGGGGCGUCUCGUUCUCAUUGCGAGAAGAGGCGCACCAAGAGCGUACACGCUGGGACCCGAAAGAUGGUGAACUAUGCCUGGUCAGGACGAAGUCAGGGGAAACCCUGAUGGAGGUCCGUAGCGAUUCUGACGUGCAAAUCGAUCGUAAGAACUGGGUAUAGGGGCGAAAGACUAAUCGAACCAUC